GCGGCGUGGAUUAGGCAUGCAAGUCGAACGGGAAGCUUACUUCGGUAAGUGGAUCGUGGCGGACGGGUGAGUAACACGUAGGCAACCUGCCUUGAAGAUGGGGAUAACUCAUGGAAACAUGAGACAAUACCGAAUACGCUCUGAUAUACAUAAGUAUAAUAGAGGAAAGGUGCUUCGGCACCGCUUUAAGAUGGACCUGCGGCUCAUUAGCUUGUUGGUGGGGUAAUGGCCUACCAAGGCAGUGAUGAGUAGCCGACCUGAGAGGGUGACC
rnacentral:rRNA from 1 species